rnacentral:rRNA from 1 species
CUAUCCCUACGGGGCGCAGCAGUGAGGAAUAUUGGUCAAUGGUCGGGAGACUGAACCAGCCACGCCGCGUGAGGGAGGAAGGUACAGAGUAUCGUAAACCUCUUUUGUCAGGGAACAAAGGCGGGGACGUGUCCCCGGAUGAGUGUACCUGAAGAAAAAGCAUCGGCUAACUCCGUGCCAGCAGCCGCGGUAAUACGGAGGAUGCGAGCGUUAUCCGGAUUUAUUGGGUUUAAAGGGUGCGCAGGCGGUCUGUUAAGUCAGCGGUCAAAGCCCGGGGCUCAACCCCGGCCCGCCGCUGAAACUGC